rnacentral:tRNA from 1 species
GCCUAGUUAGCUUGGAAGGUAUAAAGCGUCUGCCUUGUAAGCGCUAGGUUGUGGGUUUGAUUCCCGUCCGGGGCG